rnacentral:tRNA from 1 species
CAGGAAAUAGUUUAAAUAGAAUGUCAGCUUUGGGUGCUGACGGUGGGGGAGCAGUCCCUCUUUCUUGA